UCUCUCACUUUCCCAAAUAUCACGCCCUUCGCCUCCUUUCACACACCAUCUUCUUCCUUGAGUUCCUUCACACCCCUCUGCGCCUAACAAAUGGAUUGGGAGACCACGGUGCGCGAGUUGCGGCGGACCGGGGGAAGGAUUGCCUGGUCCGCCUCAACUCGCGCAUGAUGGCCUUGCCUCUCUCUGUAGCCCGAUUCACGACAACACCUGCUUAGAUUUGUGGGAAGCAGAAUAAGAAUUCACAUACCUGAAUUCUUCAAUUUUGAAGCUUCAUUGAAAUGGAGAGAAGCAGAAAGUUGGUGAAAUAUUGGUGCAAGGCAGAGCAAGAUACAGAGUUCUAUGUGCGCUCUUGGUCUGGGCUUUUUUUGGUGUGAACUUAUAGGCAAUUUUCAAGACACAAUGUUCUUGUAUUCUUCUUUUAAAAUUUUCUCUAACCACAGUAUUUUUAUUUUUUUUAUAUAUAAAUUAUAAAAAGUCCCUGUUUGGUACUGA